rnacentral:rRNA from 1 species
UACAGAGGUCUCAAGCGUUGUUCGGAUUCAUUGGGCGUAAAGGGUGCGUAGGCGGCGCGGUAAGUCGGGUGUGAAAUCUCGGAGCUUAACUCCGAAACUGCAUUCGAUACUGCCGUGCUUGAGGUCUGGAGAGGAGACUGGAAUUUACGGUGUAGCGGUGAAAUGCGUAGAUAUCGUAAGGAAGACCAGUGGCGAAGGCGGGUCUCUGGACAGUUCCUGACGCUGAGGCACGAAGGCCAGGGGAGCAAACGGG